GACAAACGCUGGCGGCAUGCCUAACACAUGCAAGUCGAACGGACAGAACAGGGAAGCUUUUCGGAGUGGAACUGGAAAGUUAGUGGCGGAUGGGUGAGUAACGCGUGGACAACCUACCUUGUAAAGGGGAAUAACCUCGAGAAAUCGAAGCUAAUACCCCAUAAUAACCUUGCUUCGCAUGAAGUAAGGAGGAAAGGCGGCCUUAGCGCUGUCGAUACAAGAUGGGUCCGCGUCUGAUUAGCUAGUUGGUGAGGUAAAGGCUCACCAAGGCGACGAUCAGUAGCCGGCCUGAGAGAGUGAACGGCCACAUUGGGACUGAGACACGGCCCAAACUCCUACGGGAGGCAGCAGUGGGGAAUCUUCCGCAAUGGGCGAAAGCCUGACGGAGCAAUGCCGCGUGAGUGAAGAAGGCCUUCGGGUUGUAAAACUCUGUCCUUAUCGAAGAGAGAGUGUUGUAGUAACUGACAAUACUAGGACGGUAGAUGAGGAGGAAGCCCCGGCUAACUAUGUG
rnacentral:rRNA from 1 species